GGAGACGUAGGUACACAAGCACACAAGGGCCUCCAAAUCGGUGGUGCACACCUCACGGAUAAGACGAGGGCAAAGCAUGCGUGGGAAACCACGUUUAUCAUAAAGGGAAAGGGGUGGUCACGAGGAGCCACGAGCGCCCCAGGCUUUAGCUUUGCGGCCGGCCGGCCAGGCCUCGCGCCAGCCCGGGUGCACACCCAAGGCGCCGGGCCCGCCUCCAGCUCCCGGGCAGCGGGAACCGCGAACCGCCGUGGAACGGCCGGGAAGGGAGCGCUGCGCCCCCUGGCGGCGGGGCCCAUCCCUCUCCGCUCCCGGCCGCCGCCGCCGCGGGCCGGCCUCACUCCAUUUGCAGCCUCCGUAGGCUUCGUUCCUCCGAGCGGCGGCUCCCCCGGCCUCCCGCUCGCCGCCCGGCAUCUCCCUCCAGUCCCCGCCCCCUGCUCCAGCUCCGACACCCCCUUCCACACGCCGAGCAGUGCCCCGCCACAGCCCCGCCGAGCGCCAGCGCCAAGCUGCCGCGAGCCCGGCAGAGCCUUCCGGCCGCCCCGGCCGCUCCAUCGCGGCGCCCGGCGGGGGUGCGGGGCCGGCGCGCGGCGCGAGUGGGGCGGGCGGCGGCGGCGGCGCGGACGGUUCCACCGCGCGAACCCCCCGUCCCCGCGCGGCGCGCGUGCUCCCCGGAACGCCAUGGAGUCGCCGCGUUCCGAGCGGGCACAAAGGGGCGCGCAGCACAAUGGGCGCGGCGAGCCCGUGGGCGCCCAGCGCCCGCUCCGGUGGCUCGGCCCGCGCGGGGGUGGGCGCUACUACCGGCAGGCGCGCUCCGAGCAGCCCCCCUCCGCGUCCCCUCCCCUGCUCCCGCCCCCACCCCGGCAUGGAUGUUGCAGCCACUCUCCCGGCUGCUCGCCCCGGAGCCGCCAACGCUGCCGCCGCCGCGCGGCCGGCUUGAUCCGCCCCGCACUUACCUGGGACGCGAGUUCUGUACUUUGCCGGGCGGGCCCGCGCCGAGUUUGGGCGCCACGUGGGGGGAGGGCGCGGGGCCGGGGAGUGGGGGCCGCGCGCGGAGGGCCUGGCCGGGGCGGCCCGGGGAGGCGCUGGGGGCGGCGGGCGGGCGAGCGCCGUGUAUUUUCCCCUCUCUUUGUGUGUGUCCGUGCGCUGCGCUCUCGCGUGACGUGA
rnacentral:lncRNA from 1 species